rnacentral:rRNA from 1 species
AAGGGUACUCGAGUGGCGAACGGGUGAGUAACACGUGGGUGAUCUGCCCUGCACUUCGGGAUAAGCUUGGGAAACUGGGUCUAAUACCGGAUAGGAGCCAUCUUUAGUGUGGUGGUUGGAAAGUUUUUUCGGUGUAGGAUGAGCUAGCGGCCUAUCAGCUUGUUGGUGGGGUAAUGGACUACCAAGGCGGCGACGGGUAGCCGGCCUGAGAGGGUGUACGGCCACAUUGGGACUGAGAUACGGCCCAG